rnacentral:rRNA from 1 species
AAAGAAAAUAGUUCAGCACUAAGUCACUUUGUCUUUAUGGCAAAUGUGAGAUGCAGUGUAUGGAACAUCAAUAUUCUAGUAUGAGAAAUUAAUGAUUUAAGUCCUUCUUAAAUGAGGCCAUUUACCCAUAGAGGGUGCCAGGCCCGUAUAACAUUAAUGAUUACUAGAUGGUGCUUCCAAAGAGUCGUGUUGCUUGAUAGUGCAGCACUAAGUGGGUGGUAAACUCCAUCUAAAACUAAAUAUAACCAUGAGACCGAUAGUAAACAAGUACCGUGAGGGAAAGUUGAAAAGAACUCUGAAUAGAGAGUUAAAUAGUACGUGAAACUGCUUAGAGGUUAAGCCCGAUGAACCUGAAUAUCCGUUAUGGAAAAUUCAUCAUUAAAAUUGUAAUAUUUAAAUAAUGUUAUAAUAAUAGUGUGCAUUUUUUCCAUAUAAGGACAUUGUAAUCUAUUAACAUAAACUAAAUUUAUCAUAAAAUAUGAAUUAUAGUUUAUUCAAAUUAUUUUGCUUGCAAUUUAACAUAGAAUAAAUGUCAUUAAUUUGAUAAAGUGUUGAUAGAUUUAUAUGAAUACAGUGCGUUAAUUUUUUAAAUUAUAUAAUAGCAUGAUGAUCAUUGAUUUUUAUGUUUAUUAUAUGCACUUGUAUGAUUAA